rnacentral:rRNA from 1 species
GAUGAACGCUGGCGGCGUGCCUAAUACAUGCAAGUCGAGCGAACAGACGAGGAGCUUGCUCCUCUGACGUUAGCGGCGGACGGGUGAGUAACACGUGGAUAACCUACCUAUAAGACUGGGAUAACUUCGGGAAACCGGAGCUAAUACCGGAUAAUAUAUUGAACCGCAUGGUUCAAUAGUGAAAGACGGUUUUGCUGUCACUUAUAGAUGGAUCCGCGCCGCAUUAGCUAGUUGGUAAGGUAACGGCUUACCAAGGCAACGAUGCGUAGCCGACCUGAGAGGGUGAUCGGCCACACUGGAACUGAGACACGGUCCAGACUCCUACGGGAGGCAGCAGUAGGGAAUCUUGCGCAAUGGGCGAAAGACGGACGGAGCAACGCCGCGUGAGUGAUGAAGGUCUUCGGAGCGUAAAACGCGGUUAUUAGGGAAGAACAAAUGUGUAAGUAACUAUGCCCGUCUUGACGGUACCUAACCAGAAGGCCACGGCUAACUACGUG